GGUAAGCUUAGGGAGGAGCUUGCGUCACAUUAGUUAGUUGGUGGGGUAAAGGCCUACCAAGACUAUGAUGUGUAGCCGGGCUGAGAGGUUGAACGGCCACAUUGGGACUGAGACACGGCCCAAACUCCUACGGGAGGCAGCAGUAGGGAAUUUUCGGCAAUGGAGGAAACUCUGACCGAGCAACGCCGCGUGAACGAUGAAGUAUUUCGGUACGUAAAGUUCUUUUAUUAGGGAAGAAUAAAUGAUGGAAAAAUCAUUCUGACGGUACCUAAUGAAUAAGCCCCGGCUAACUAUGUGCCAGCAGCCGCGGUAAUACAUAGGGGGCAAGCGUUAUCCGGAAUUAUUGGGCGUAAAGGGUGCGUAGGCGGUUAAAUAAGUUUAUGGUCUAAGUGCAAUGCUCAACAUUGUGAUGCUAUAAAAACUGUUUAGCUAGAGUAAGAUAGAGGCAAGUGGAAUUCCAUGUGUAGUGGUAAAAUGCGUAAAUAUAUGGAGGAACACCAGUAGCGAAGGCGGCUUGCUGGGUCUUUACUGACGCUGAGGCACGAAAGCGUGGGGAGCAAACAGGAUUAGAUACCCUGGUAGUCCACGCCGUAAACGAUGAGUACUAAACGUUGGGUAAAACCAGUGUUGAAGUUAACACAUUUAGUACUCCGCCUGAGUAGUACGUACGCAAGUAUGAAACUUAAAGGAAUUGACGGGACUCCGCACAAGCGGUGGAUCAUGUUGUUUAAUUCGAAGGUACCCGAAAAACCUCACCAGGUCUUGACAUGCUUCUGCAAAACUGUAGAAACACAGUGGAGGUUAUCAGUUGCACAGGUGGUGCAUGGUUGUCGUCAGCUCGUGUCGUGAGAUGUUGGGUUAAGUCCCGCAACGAGCGCAACCCUUAUUGNUAGUUACCAGCACGUAAUGGNGGGGACUUUA
rnacentral:rRNA from 1 species